AGAAAAACUAAAUGAGUGCUCUAGUCACUGACUGUCACACAUUUGAUCAUAAGUGAACAAUCAGAAUUCUGUUUGAGUCAUCAAUGUCUCAUGAAUAUAUUUGGUGGGUAAGAUUCUGAGGUGUCUAGUCAUCUAAGGCUACACUGAUGACACAGAGUUUCUUCAACUACAAGGGUGAGGGUCAGCAUGUGCUAACAGAGAUUUCAUGUAAACAAGGCCCCCCUGUAAUGUUUUCUAUGAAAUCUGUAAGAAGGCUUAGAGCUACAUCUUACUCUUUCACUGAUUAAAGCAUACAGAUUUGUGCUGCUACGACCUGACACCUGCCUUUCUAUACUGCACUGAAAUUCCCUGAAGCCCUAGUGUGGGACACACGUGGAAUCCACGUGGGACAGACACAUAUGGACUUGGAUGUGUGAAAAGAUGGAGCAAUAGCUUCCUGAUCUUCCAGUGAUCACAAUGAGGAGUCCUUGGAACAGCAAGGCAUGUGAGGAACUCAACAAGAAGGCAGCUUUUAGCUUCUGGAGAAUCACGUCUUACAGAUGUACCUUCAAUAUUUUGUAUGAAAUAUUGGGAAUUCCUAGAGCAUCAACCACAUUUAUUCCAAAGGAAAUGCCACAAUGUAUUCCAAACAUAAAUAUAAGUGAUUUUUGGAUUCUCUACUUUUGUUCAUCUCCAGUAGCUUAGAAUAUUGAGUCAACUACAUGUGAACUUCUUAUUCAUAUCUAAACAGAAUAUAGCCUCCUCUGAAUUAUUCAUGAUAAUUAUGGGGAAAGAGAAGAAAUGUCAUGAAUAAAUUAAAUUUAUAGAUGAACA
rnacentral:lncRNA from 13 species